rnacentral:misc_RNA from 1 species
GAAAUGCGAUAAGUAAUGUGAAUUGCAGAAUUCAGUGAAUCAUCGAAUCUUUGAACGCACAUUGCGCCCUGUGGCAUUCCGCGGGGCAUGCCUGUUCGAGCGUCAUUACAACCCAUCCCGUCCGCGGGGUCUUGGGCGCCGCCGCUAGGCGGGCCUCAAAAUCAGUGGCGGUCUGGCCAGGCUCUAAGCGUAGUAAAUCUCCUCGCUAUAGGGUUCUGGGCGGCACCUGCCAGCAACCCCUCAUCUUGCACAGGUUGACCUCGGAUCAGGUAGGGAUACCCGCUGAACUUAA